rnacentral:antisense_RNA from 1 species
CUUGAUCGAGCCGAGCCACAGCGGUUGGUCGGCGGCCCGCUCCUGACCGUAGGUCGCCAGCAGCGCCUGCGCCUC